AUGAAUGGUGUCACGAAGGUCUCACUGUCUUAAGAAAAUUCCCAGUGAAAUUGAAUUUGUAGUGAAGAUGCUACAUCCAAAUUGUUAGACGAGAAGUCCCCAUGGAACUUUACUGGAGGCCUAUGUAGCUUGAUGGUCUUACAAAUAAAUAGUUUGAUUAUGUGGUGUUAUCCUCAGUUGAGGGUAGUAAAGCCCACUCUUUUAUUUUAAGAAAGCAAAGGGGGUAGGUCAGACAGUUUGGUUGGGGCGACCGCCUUUUAAAAAGUAACGAAGGUGGGCUUAAGAUACAUAUUAUAAUAACUGUUGUCUGACUGCAAAAGGGGGGCCUUGAGCAGACACUAGUUGUGGUGGGUUGUAGUGACCCGUUAAUUUAAGGUGAAAUAGUUAACGAUAAACAGAUAAAAGUUC
rnacentral:rRNA from 1 species